CACUUUUGUUUUCGAACUAUUCCGCCCGUGAACCAUGGCAACCAUUACAACUUUCGCCGUCUUUUUCACUUUGGCGACACUGAUGCUUCCUUGGAAUCAUAUUUGUGUUCUUGCGGGGAAUCCUGCGCGGAGCCCUAAGGUUAGGGUAGUUAGAGAAGUGAGACCACACGUUGUACCUCGUCCCUUUUACUACACUACGCCUCCGGGAAUGCCGCAUACGAGAAGAAAACGCCGCGUUUCAAGUCCUGGAAAAAUCAUUCCCCCUAAGCGACGUUAUUCCGUAUAGGACAAGAAGAGUUAUUGCCAAGACAGCAAAGACAACCAGAGUAUAUUCAAAUAAAGUGCAUUCUUUGGUCCAUCUGG
rnacentral:lncRNA from 1 species